rnacentral:rRNA from 1 species
CCCUUAGAUGUCCUGGGCCGCACGCGCGCUACACUGAACAGUUCAACAAGUCUUAACCUUGGCCGAUAGGUCUGGGUAAUCUUUGAACGCUGUUCGUGAUUGGGAUAGACCUUUGCAAUUAUGGGUCUUCAACGAGGAAUUCCUAGUAAACGCAAGUCAUCAGCUUGCAUUGAUUACGUCCCUGCCCUUUGUACACACCGCCCGUCGCACCUACCGAUUGAAUGGUCCGGUGAAAUCUCGGGACGGCGGCUUGGUCGCUUGCGUCCGACUGCUGAAACUUGAUUAAACCAUNUNAUUUAUNGGAAGGUGAANUCGUANCA